AAGAAAGAAAAGAAAGGACAAAAAGAAGAAAAGGAGAAGAAAAUUUCAUUUUCUCUUUUCUUAUUCUUCUUCUCUUCCCUUCACCGCCAAGAGUUUGAAGACAUCCAAGUUCCCUUUAUUUUUUUUUUUUUUCUUUUUCCUUCUUCAAUUUGCAGAGAACUUCUAAGAGAGAGUUUGGAAGAAGAAGAGAAAUUUUUACUAGAAUUUUUAGGUUGAAGAAGAGGAGGAGAACUCAAGGAAAGUGUAUCAAUGGCUGAAUUUUAGUUCAUUCUGCACAUCACUGGUUUUUAAUUCGGUUUGAACUCUUCAAAAGGAAUUAAGAGGGCAGUUGGUUUUCACUCGAAAUCAGGAAGUCUCUGGUGUUUCUUGUAUUUCAGAGUGUAUCGGUGGAGUUAGAAUCUCUAUUUGGAACAAGUUAAAGAGGUCGUGUGCGCGCGAUUCUGGAAGUGGUUCUGUUUUGAGGGUUAUAUGUAUUUAUGCACGGGGAAUCAGAUUUAUAUGUCUUCAGGCCGAGAAGAAUUAAACCGAGCUUAUAGACCAAGGAUCUAGCCCAAGACUGUAGAGAUCGACUUCCCGGUGCCUGAUAGACUGCCUUAGUCUGCGGAAGCUUCAUUAUCGAUUGCCAGUACGUGUUUUGAGUUGGGCAUAAAGUCUGUUGUGUUGUGAUGUAUUCACACCCUUGUAUGUUAUAGAUACUCCACAGUUUGUAUAAGCUUUAGGAGCUGUAGUUGUGUAAAUUUUGUUGGUUAUAUUUUGAUUAAGGUGUCUUUAGGUUUACUCGUGAAAUCGGUAAAUUCUGAGGUACAUUUCAUGUAUGUGUUUGACUAGCCUAGGAUCCGCUGUGUUUUGUGGCAUGUACAAUAGUUUAUAUACUAGAUUGGCAAGUUCAUCACAUGAAAGUUUUAAGCAGAGUCGACAGAUACAGGUACAGAAAAGCAUUGUUCGUCGGCUUCACACCAUCUUUCGGUCUAAGGUAGCAGGUAGUCCGGGAGGGGGUGUGACAUAUGAAAUCACUUUGCUACAUUUGGAUAGUUGUAAAGAGGCUCGGUGGAAAUACAUUUGUUUCUUCGUGAAAAUUGUUUUGAGAACAAUAAGUUCUCAAUGCAAAACAUUGCGCUUAAAGGAUUAUAGAAGACAUGAUCUCGACCAAUGUUAAUGUCAUUAAAAAAAAAAUCAAUGCUAGUUUAUUAGGUUUGCGAGUCUACUUGUGUGUUAUGGACUUGUAAGUUGAUUAAGAAAAUAUGGCUUCUCGACCUCUUUAGUA